CCUGACAACUCGUCCAGAUGAAAUGAGGGGC
rnacentral:piRNA from 1 species